CUGCAGCCAAUUAAGCCGACCAGGUUCCUCCCCUAGUGGAUACUGGUGUGCAGUGUCUGCGGACAGCAGCCUCCUGGGUAGUGUACGCACCCUAUUCCUUGUAUAGGUUGCUCUAAGGGACCUAGGAGACAAAG
ensembl:snoRNA SNORA70 Small nucleolar RNA SNORA70